AGAAGAGAUGGAGGAGAGAUGAGGGAGAGAUGGAUGAAGAGAUGGAGGAGAGAUGGAGGAGAGAUGAGGGAGAGAUGAGGGAGAGAUGGAGGAGAUUGAGGAGAGAUGGAGGAAGGGAUGAGGGAGAGAUGGAGGAAGAGAUGGAGGAGACAUGAGGGAGAGAUGGAGGAGAGAUGGAGGAGAGAUGGGGGGAGAUGGAGAGAUGAAGGUGAGAUGAGGGAGAGAUGGAGAGAUGGAGAGAUGGAGGUGAGAUGAGGGAGAGAAGAGGGCAAGAUGGAGAGGUGGAGAAGAGAUGGAGAAGAGAUGAGGGAGAGAUGGAGGAAGAGAUGGAGGAGAGAUGGAGGAGAGAUGAGGGAGAGAUGAGGGAGAGAUGGAGGAGAGAUGAGUG
ensembl:lncRNA